rnacentral:rRNA from 1 species
CCUACGGGUGGCUGCAGUAGGGAAUAUUGCUCAAUGGGGGUAACCCUGAAGCAGCAACGCCGCGUGGAGGAUGAAGGUUUUAGGAUUGUAAACUCCUUUUGUUCAAGAAGAUUAUGACGGUAUCUAACGCAUAAGCACCGGCUAACGACGUGACAGCAGCCGCUGUCAUACGGUGGGUGCAAGCGUUAAUCCGAAGCAUUGGGAGUAAAGAGUGCGUAGGCGGGGUAAUAAGUCAGAUGUGAAAUUCUGUAGCUUAACUACAGAACCGCAUUUGAAAAUGUUACUCUGGAGUGUGGGAGAGGUAGGUGGAAUUCUUGGUGUAGGGGUAAAAUCCGUAGAGAUCAAGAGGAAUACUCAUUGCGAAGGCGACCUGCUGGAACAUUACUGACGCUGAUGCACGAAAGCGUGGGGAGCAAACAGGAUUAGAUACCCUUGUAGUC